rnacentral:rRNA from 1 species
AAGGCCUUGCGCUUUUGGAGUGGCCGAUGCCUGAUUAGCUAGUUGGUGGGGUAAGGGCCUACCAAGGCGACGAUCAGUAGUUGGUCUGAGAGGACGACCAGCCGCACUGGGACUGAGACACGGCCCAGACUCCUACGGGAGGCAGCAGUGGGGAAUUUUGGACAAUGGGCGCAAGCCUGAUCCAGCAAUGCCGCGUGAGUGAAGAAGGCCUUCGGGUUGUAAAGCUCUUUCAGUUGAGAAGAAAAGGUUGUGGUAAAUAAUCACAAUUCAUGACGGUAUCGACAGAAGAAGCACCGGCUAACUACGUGCCAGCAGCCGCGGUAAUACGUAGGGUGCAAGCGUUAAUCGGAAUUACUGGGCGUAAAGGGUGCGCAGGCGGCUUUGUAAGUCAGAUGUGAAAUCCCCGGGCUUAACCUGGGAAUU